UGCAAACUAGACAAGCAAAGUGCUCAUCUGCUGGGUGGGUGUUUGGAUUACUUCAGUCCUGCUAUUGUUUGAGAGGAAACAAGUGGUUUGCUUUCUUUGUUCCUUGGCUUCAUAAACUUUCUCUUCUACAUUUUCCUGUUUAGGGGCGAGGGAAAGCAAAGAGCGUCUUACGAAACCCCCCCCGACUUAUCACGGCUAUUUUUUAUUACUAUUAUUUAUUUUCUUUUUUCCUCUCUCUCCCUCCACGUAUUCCAUUUCUUAAAUUGGCAGCGCGGGGUCCAAGCCUGUAGUCCCAAAUCGGAUAUCUCUGCAGCUGAUAACGAGCAAAAGAGAAGCCAGGCAACAGCCAUAUUAAAGAAGAAAACAAUCAACUCUGAGGAUGCCACCCUGAAAGUUUUAUUUUCUCCAGGAAAGUAGAGUUCUCUUUGAGAGUUCUAGCCUGUGAACUCAGUAUGUAAAUGUGGUCAUCAAGCAAGAUGGAGCUGCCAAGAGGGAAGAUUUUGAACGUUUCUCUUUCCUAAAACCCUUCCCAGCAUUCCUUCUUCUGGGGGUGCUUUACUUGAAGGUUCCCCCUUUCCCCAACGCUGUUAAAAAUAGCUCCCAAGCAACACUGCAGUAGCUAAACCAAUUGUACUGUGAAGUUGUUGAGCUGGCAUUUCAUCUGAAUCCUUUGUAAAAAUUAGAUUUUAAGUAGGGGUGAGUGUCAUUUUGGGAGAGGGGACAAGGGUGAGGGGAAGAAGAGGGGGAGGGGAUGAGCAAUUUAUACACAUAUAUACUCUUUGUGUUUGAAGGCCUCUGUGUCUUGGCUUCUCACUAUGUUAAAUCCCUAUUAUAAAACUUAUCUUCACAAAGCCUAUUAUAGUAUUCUGAGAACAAAUUGGACCAUGAAUAACUUAGUUGGAAGUGUAGAUUAUUUUCUACUCAGGAAAAGUUAGAGAUGACAACAGCUUAACUAAAAGAAUAGUGAUUAAUCUUAAAUAGAUGGAUUUCAAAGUUUCACUCUUGAUAAAGAGUACCUUUGAUAGUUCCCCUCUUCAGACUCAUGUUUCCACUUUCUUUGUAUUAAGAAUUGUCCUAGUGAUUACACUGUCCACCUAAUACAGCAUGACUCUGACUGUAGACCUUUUUCUUACAGGUUGCUAAUCUGUCAGAGAGGUGAGCAGAAAGACACUUGACUUCCUAUUGAUUAAAUAUAUGGUUCCAAAGUGGGACCUGUGCAUAGAGAUCAGACUCUCUGUUAGAAAUACUAUCUGGCAUAAAUCAAAAUUUCUCAAUUAGAUAAAAUUAUUAUUUAAAAACACCUUAAAUUUGUUUAAUGCCCUACAGCUUACAGAACACUUCUCAAAUCAUAAUUUUGUUUGAUCCUUAAAAGACUGUUAUGAUAUAAACACAUAACACUAAUCUCAUUUUACCAAGGAGGAAGCUGAGUCACUUGUACACUGCGAGCCAGCUGAUAAAUGGAAGAACUGGAAUACCCACUCAGAUUUUACAGCUUCUGUUUUAAGUGAUUAACCUGUAGCAAUAGGCAUUUAAAUUCCUUUUGUGUUCUACAUCCCUGAAAAUCAAGAUUUUGUAUGAAGGAGCAAAGUUUUUAUAUUUCACAGAUACAGAAGUUAAAGGACCUGAUUGAAAAAAAAAAUUCUAUUCACUUAAAAGUAAAUGUCAUGAAUUAGUGUUUUCCCCUGUGUGUGCACGCACAUGCAUAUGUGUGCGUAUCAAUAGUCUUUCAGAGGUGACAGUCUUAAUUUCUAAAAACCAAACAUGGGCAACCCUGUAUAAACUAAUAACUGCCUGGAAUUUUUUAAAGUGUCCUUGAAAACCAUAAAUUGUUUCAAAAUAGAAUGUAACAACAAAUAAGCCUUUAGGACCACGUUCUGCCUAUAAAGUACUGGAUAACAUGGCAUUGAUCAAGUUCUAGAGUGUUAUAAGUGAGGUUCCCUUCAUUUUCACUUUCAAUGAGAUAAAAUCGACAAAAUUGGAAGAUAUUUAAAGUAUAUAUCCUGAUGAUUUGAUAAACGUAAACAUUGUGAAAGUAUUCCUCCUAUCUGCUUAAUUAACACAUCUAUCACCUCACAUAUGUCUUUUUUUUUUGGUAAAAACAUUUAAGUUUUUCUUUCUCUUAAAAAAAAAAAAAGAUUUUAUGGGCGCCUGGGUGGCUCAGUUGGUUGAGUGACUGCCUUCCGCUCAGGUCAUGAUCUUGGAGUCUCGGGAUCGAGUCCCGCAUUGGGCUCCCUUUUCGGCGGGGAGUCUGCCUCUCCCUCUCAUGCUCUCUCUCUCUCUCAAUAAAUAAAUAAAAAUCUUAAAAAAAACUUUAAAAAGGAUUUUAUUUAUUUAUUUUUCAGAGGGAGAGAGAGAACAACAGGGGGAGCGUCAGGCAGAGGGAGAAGCAGGCUCCCCGCUGAGCAGCGAGCCUGAUGCGGGUUGGAUCCCAGGACUCUGGGAUCAUGACCUGAGCCGAAGGCAGACGCUUAACCCUAACUGACUGAGCCACCCAGGCGUCCCUAAGUUUUACUCUCUUAGCA
rnacentral:lncRNA from 1 species